rnacentral:tRNA from 1 species
UCCGGGGUAGCUCAAUCGGCAGAGCGCUCGGCUGUUAACCGAAUGGUUGUGGGUUCGAGUCCCACCCCCGGAG